rnacentral:piRNA from 1 species
UGUCUACUGUCUUGCAAGGCCCUGG